rnacentral:tRNA from 1 species
GCCGAAGUGGUGAAAUUGGUAGACACGCACGACUCAAAAUCGUGUGACGCGAGUCAUGUGGGUUCGAGUCCCACCUUCGGUA